UAGAAACCAUUCACCAGCUCAGGAUGCCCGGGCAGUACUUGUCAAUCAGCCCCUGAUAGUAGGGCCGCAGGCUCUUCACUUCCGGUAGGUCAGGGCACUUGGUGUAGAGGUCAAACUUGCUGCAGACAAGGGGAGGGACAACACCAGUCAUAAAACUCCUUCACCCCAAGUCCCCUUCACUGCCCGCACCACUUGGGGAACUACACACUUGAACUCUUGCACCCAAGGCAGCAUAUCCAGGUCUUGCUGACUGCACAGCUGCCGGUAGUCACCGCCGGUGUGCCACGGAUAGAAGGAAUGGAAUCGGACCAUGUAGAAGGCCUGGGGACACCACAGACAGCAUGCUCAGCUCUGCUAGACUAGCUGGACUGAAUGAGGCUCCUGACUGGGCCCCUCUCCACACCUACCUCUGAAGGGCCAGGAUUUUCCCCAGAUCAUGCAAAAGUCCAACCAGAUGGAACCAGUCUGUGGAAAAGGGACACAUGACCUAGAAACCGCAGGCAUAACGCAGUAGGGGCACACCCUUGUCUGGGUGGGCUUUUCGGAUGCCCUCCGCGGUCUGGAACGCGUGAAAGGAGUUGGGGAAGUCUACGUCUGGGUCAGAUUCGUCCACCAGAUCAUCCAGCAUAUCUACAGCCUCCAUGACCGUCAUCUUCUUGUAAGAGAAGCUUCCAAACUGGAUGCGCUGGAGAGAAGGGAGACGUCAGCCAUUCUUCAUGUCCCACAGAGAGGGCUACAGAGCAGGGUCAUUCUCCGAGUACAUUGGGCCAAAGGCAAGGAGGCGCCCACCCUCAGAAUCGGCAUUAAGGAGCAGGAAACUUUUACCUUCCGCAUGACGAAGUCCACGGUCUGAGUUUCCUUGUGUAACAGAACCCUGGCUGUCCUGGAACUCACUCUGUAGACCAGGUUGGCCUCAAACUCACAAGACACACCUCUGCCUCCCCAGUGCUGGAAUGAAAGGCUUUUUCUGUAUAGUCCUGGCUGUUCUGGAAUUCACUGUGUAAACCAGGGUGGUCUUGAACUCAGAGGUUCACCUGCCUCUGCCUCCUGCGUGCUAGGAUUAAAGAACACAAAAUCUCUGAUGGCUUCCGAUCUGCUGGAUCUGCCCAGGACAUCCAGAGACCACCAGGCCAAUGAGACGUCUGCAAGCAGAUGACAAAUCCUUCAGGAGGAGAUGUCCCAGGCGGGGAAGAGUGAACUGAUAACUUGGGAGAGACAUCAGGACCUCAGCUCAUCAGGCUGAGACUCGGGGGAAACAAGGGCCAACCCAAAACGAUGCUGUUACGUGGUGAUGACCGUGGGUCAUGACGAUUCUUGCCAAGGCGGGGUUCAAAUGUCUUUUGUCAGGGGGGGAUAAAAGACACAGCUGUGACAGGAGACCUCACAGCUGAGAUAUGAGAUUGUUUUGUCAUGCCGAGCAUUGUUAGAGUGCUUCGUACGGAAUGGGCUGUGUCACGUCCAUUUUGCUCGCAGCAAAAAAUAUUAGCAGAAAUCAAUCAAGAGAUGGGUAAACCUCGGCCCUCUGUUAGCUAACCUUAUAAUUCUCCUAUGCUCGGAUAUAUUAGUUAAACUAACUAAAAAGGCUGUGCCUUCAACCUUGGCCUCUAUGAUAGCCACUAUUCUUUUUUCUUUUUUUUUUUUUUUUUGGUUCUUUUUUUUUUUUUCGGAGCUGGGGACCGAACCCAGGGCCUUGCGCUUCCUAGGCAAGCGCUCUACCACUGAGCUAAAUCCCCAGCCCCUCUUUUUUCUUUAAAAAAAAGAAAAACUACAAGGGAAGAGAUGUUAAGGGAACAGAGGUCCUUGUAUUCACAGAGAAUCCCUAAGAGAACUAGGGACGUUAAUUGUGGAGAGAACAUCUUGUGUAUUGUGUGGAGGCAUCAACUGUCAAUUAACUCAGAGAGCCACCUGCCUCUGCUCCCGAGUGCUGGAGUUAAAGGCCAGUGCCAUCACUGCCCCGUUUUGCCUUCACUGGGUUCUUGCUGGAGGCAGGUAGAUGGCCGGAUAUCAUGGGUGAAAGACAGGCUUCCUGACAAGUUGACUUAGGGAUUUUGUUUCGCAGCGGUGGGCAUUAAACCGAAGGCCUCAGAGAAGUGAGGCAGGUGAUCUAUCAACACUUCAGUGCGGCUUGUCUGAGGUCCGGACAAGAUGGGUGGUGGGCUUCUGGCCAAGGAGCUCACACAGACUAGGAGUUAGGCUACAUGGAUACUGUUAUUGUAGUGAAGGUGCAGUGGGGACCCAGCAGACAAAAACAGCCUGCCUGGGCAGUGACACGCUUGGAGCAGGGAAGAAGUACAGCGAGCGUGACAGUCCUAGGUUAGAAGCCAACUGAGUGGACCCUACAUUGAAUGGUUUCCCCAGGCAUCAGUGCUAAGCCUCCCGCAUCCCCUUCACUACCAGAAGGUUAACUGCAACCAGCCUUUUCUCACCUAGCUUUUUGAUAGGCUCCCCUCUGUCUCUUCCUAGUUAAAAGUCAUCCCUAGGAGGACAGGGCUGGACUCUCCAGUGUGUCCUGUGGGCUACAUGCCAGGAUCGGGGUGAGGCGUUCUUGGAGAAGGCUGGAGUCAUGACCUUCAAAGCAAUCAAGGGUGAGCGCCCGGUAUCUGAAUAGGUUCUUGAGGAGGGUUCAACUUUUAAGUGUGAAAACAGCUAGAAAGUGGCCCAGGGGGUAGGCUGGGGAGGGCUGCACUUCCACUGAAGCUCUCUGCAUGGGGCCAUCGAGAGGCAGUCAAGUGUAGCCAAGCGCAGUGUGAGGCUGGCAUCAGACCAGAUACAAGGGUCAUAACUGGCAACCUCCUGACGCUGCACAAGAGGCCAGUAGCCCUCCCCCUUCACAGUGAAGCUCUGAGGCUCAGGGGCCUUGACCACUCAUGAGAUUCUAGAGACAUCCACGUGCAGCAGGCCUGGGAGUCCAGGCUGGGAGGAUGCAGGAUAUCCAUGAAGAGAGGUAUGGGGACAACCAAAGGUGCUCCUAAAACAGAAGAUGGCUUGUACUGAAGAGAAGUGCGAGGUUGGACCUUGCCCAGGAUCCAGAGUCCCUAAGAGGAUUCUGGGAAAUCUGGGUCUUGGAGACUCAGUUUGUCUGUCCUCAGCUUGCUCUUGAUUCCUCACCUUUACUCCAGGAUCUAGAGGUUCCUCAGUUACCACUCCCAUUACGGUUUCUGUUCUGGUCUCUCUGUGCACAGAGGUUUCUUUUUCUUUUCUUUUUUUUUUUU